UUGUUUAAAAAUUAUGGAUUCGUUGAAUUGGAAAAAAAAGAAUGAAUUAAAAAAAAAACAUAUCGAAACAAUCUUCCUCCAACACCAUUGAACACCCCUACAUCCCUCCUUAUCACACACCGUUACACCAUUACGCCACUGUUGACUACGACUGUCAACCAAAAAAUCCUAUACCAGGGAAGACGAAUCCCUUUAAAAGCCGCUGUCAUCGAGACGGACGGUCUCUAAUAGUGUGAUCGCCAUAGUGUAAAGUACAGGCAAGAAAAAGAAGUGACCUAGUUCGAUUGGAAGCUCGCCAAAUUCCGUCGGAGAAGCAAAGUGAAGUUUUGAGGUGAAGUCAAGCAAGCAGAAGAAGCCGGUUCAAGUGACGUUCCUGGCCCUGGUGAACCAUCAUCCCGGUUCCUUCGUCGGACUAUCGCCCCUCGUGCGUCGUAGUUGGGAAAACUAGUCGAUCGCCCACCCGCUGAGCCAGUGUGGAACGAAAGCGGAGACCAAGGGAUACGGUCCAGGCUUGAAGAAAACAUGAUGUUGCGCAGUGGAUCGUUCUCCGCCGCCCGCUAUUCCGGUCACCAAGCAGCCUACAUCGCAGAAGGACUCGACAUGCCGGCAAAUUUGUAAGGUGUGUAACGAUAACGUUUCCUUUAUCCUUCCAAAAAUCGCUAUGAAUUAAAAACCAUGAAUUGAAUCAUAA